rnacentral:rRNA from 1 species
GUUUUCUUGUGGGAAUAAGAAAUUGGGCCUGCCCGGUGUAGGAUUAACGGCCGCGGUAACUUGACCGUGCAAAGGUAGCAUAAUCAUUAGUUUUUUAAUUGGGAACUGGAAUGAAGGGUUUGACGGCCUGAGGCUGUCUUCUUCUUGUGUGAAUGAAUUUUAGCUCAUUGUGAAGACGCAAUGAUGAUUUAAAAAGACGAGAAGACCCUAUAAAGCUUUAGGUCAGGGUGUUUUUUGGGGCAUUUCUGAGGUUUUGUUGGGGCGAUGGCUGCUACUGGAAAGCGUGGUUUGAGGCAGGAUGUUUUUGAAAACUGAAGCAAGGUUGAUCCAUUAAAGGUGAUAGAAGGAGAAGCUACUUUAGGGAUAACAGCGUAAUUGGACUGGAGAGUUCAUAUUGAUAGUCUUGAUUGCGACCUCGAUGUUGAAUUAGGAUUUCUUAGGGCUGAAGGGGGCUCGAAGAGAUAGUCUGUUCGACUAUUAAAUUCCUACA